rnacentral:rRNA from 1 species
CCUACGGGAGGCUGCAGUGGGGAAUAUUGGGCAAUGGGGGAAAGCCUGACCCAGCAACGCCGCGUGAGGGAAGAAGGCUUUCGGGUUGUAAACUUCUUUUGUCAGGGAAGAGUAGAAGACGGUACCUGAAGAAUAAGCCACGGCUAACUACGUGCCAGCAGCCGCGGUAAUACGUAGGGGGCAAGCGUUGUCCGGAUUUACUGGGUGAAAAGGGCGUGUAGCCGGGUUGACAAGUCAGAUGUGAAAUCCUGCGGCGUAACCGCCGAACUGCAUUUGAAACUGUUGAUCUUGAGUACUGGAGAGGCAGAUGGAAUGCCUAGUGUAGCGGUGAAAUGCGUAGAUAUUAGGAGGAACACCAGUGGCGAAGGCGGUCUGCUGGACAGCAACUGACGGUGAGGCGCGAAAGCGUGGGGAGCAAACAGGAUUAGAUACCCGAGUAGUC